rnacentral:lncRNA from 1 species
ACACUAUUAAAAAAAUGAACAUUUGUGAUGGCCAAAAUUCAUUACAAAAAGUAGAAAAAUCAUCACGAAAGGUUUACGUGAUGGCUUAAUGGUUUUGGCAAUCACGCAAACGCUUAUUACUUUUGUGAUGAUUAAUAUAAUCACAUAAACACGUAAUUUAUUGUAAUUGUCAAAGUCAUCACAAAAAAAUAAGACUAGGGAUCAAAGGUAAGAAUGUGAAUCUCUAUUAAAGUAUAAUUUAUUUUACUGUAUUAGUUGUAUCCAAUGAUAUUUGUAUGAUUCGAAUCCUUCCCCAUUUACAAACUAAAUAAUGAGUAUUGCCCCUACACCAAUGCCCAGAUCAUGAUUAAUUAUAAUUUUAAAACAAAAUAUAUAAGAAAACAUAUGUGAGUUGACUUACUAAACAAAAUUACUUCCGUAUAAGAUUUGGUGAUUGCAAUGGCAGUCACAAAUACUCUAUAAUGAUGGUAAAAUUAGUCAUCACUGAAAGUCGUCAUAUAUUUUAUUAUUUUAUGAUGGCUUGAAAAUUCCAUCACAAAAUACCUUCUUUUUGUAAUUGCAAAUAAAAGUCAUCACAAAAAAUAAUCUAUUUUAAUGAUUGUCAUGGCCGUUAUAAAAUAUUAUUUUGAGUAUAUCUUACAUUAAAAUAUUAGUGAUAGCUUAAAUGGAAUCACGAAAAGGGUAUAUUUAUUUUGCGUAAAAAAUUUGGUGUGAUUGACAUGACCAUCACAAUUAUAAUACAUUGAUGGCAAGAUUAGUCAUCACUAAG